rnacentral:rRNA from 1 species
AAUGAGGCGAACCGGGGGAACUGAAACAUCUAAGUACCCCGAGGAAAAGAAAUCAACCGAGAUUCCCCCAGUAGCGGCGAGCGAACGGGGAGGAGCCCAGAGCCUGAAUCAGCAUGUGUGUUAGUGGAAGCGUCUGGAAAGGCGCGCGAUACAGGGUGACAGCCCCGUACACAAAAGCGCAUGUGCUGUGAGCUCGAUGAGUAGGGCGGGACACGUGGUAUCCUGUCUGAAUAUGGGGGGACCAUCCUCCAAGGCUAAAUACUCCUGACUGACCGAUAGUGAACCAGUACCGUGAGGGAAAGGCGAAAAGAACCCCGGCGAGGGGAGUGAAAAAGAACCUGAAACCGUGU